GAAGAAUUAGUUUAAUAAAACAUUAAUCUGUCAGAUUAAAGUUAUCAUUUGGAUAUUCUUUU
rnacentral:tRNA from 1 species